rnacentral:rRNA from 1 species
GAUGAACGCUGGCGGCGUGCCUAAUACAUGCAAGUCGAGCGAACAGACGAGGAGCUUGCUCCUCUGACGUUAGCGGCGGACGGGUGAGUAACACGUGGAUAACCUACCUAUAAGACUGGGAUAACUUCGGGAAACCGGAGCUAAUACCGGAUAAUAUAUUGAACAGCAUGGUUCAAUCGUGAAAGACGGUUUUGAUGUCACUUAUAGAUGGAACCGCGCCGCAUUAGCUAUGUGGUAAGGUAACGGCUUACCAAGGCAACGAUGCGUAGCCGACCGGAGAGGGUGAUCGGCCACACUGGAACUGAGACACGGUCCAGACUCCUACGGGAGGCAGCAGUAGGGAAUCUGCCGCAAUGGGCGAAAGCCUGACGGAGCAACGCCGCGUGAGUGAUGAAGGUCUUCGGAUCGUAAAACUCUGUUAUUAGGGAAGAACAAAUGUGUAAGUAACUAUGCACGUCUUGACGGUACCUAAUCAGAAAGCCACGGCUAACUACGUGCCAGCCGCCGCAGUAAAAC